GUGAUGGAACAUGAUGGAGGAUAGUGUGAGAAGAAACGUGUGUGUGUGUGUGUGUAUGUGGGAGUUCCUGUCUUGGCACAGCGGAAACAAAUCCAACUAGGAACCAUGAGGUUGUGGGUUCGAUCCCUGGCCUUGCUCAGUGGGUUAAGGAUCUGGCGUUGCCAUGACCUGUGAUGGAGGUCAAAGACGUGGCUCAGAUCUGGUGUUGCUGUGACUGUGGUGUAGGCUGGCAACUCUAACUUCCCUAGCCUGAGACAAGCAGACAAGAAAAAAGGGUGCAGCCCUAAAAAGACAAGAAGACCAAAAAAAAAAAAAAUACAUAUAUAUAUAUAUAUAUAUAUAUAUAUGUAUGUAUGUAUAUAACUGGGUCACUUCGCUGUACAGCAGAAAUCGACAGAACGUUGUAAAUCAACUCUAAUAAAAAAUCUUGAUAAUAAAAAAAAAGAAAAGAAAAACAGGAAGGAGAGGCAGGGGUCCACUGGGAUGUUUAUUAACUAAAGAACAGCUCUUGACCUGCAAGGAUUCCACAGUUUCACUCUACCCUGCCUUCCCCUCCCCCACCUAACCACUGGUACCGAACUGUCAACAAAGGAUUGCUUGUGCGUGGGGUUUUUCAGGGGAAAAAAAAAAAAAGACUUAGAUUCAUACAUUUGGAAAAAAAAGAAAUUAUCUGGCCCAUAUCUUUGCCUCCCGUUGUCAACAGCCGAACCGUGGCUCCCAAAGUUUCCCCGACCACAGAAAGCUGACCUUCCCAGCUCCAGCUCUCCGAGUAAGCAUGUGUCUGGUUUGACCAAAGUCUUCAAGGACAGCGAAUCUCCAGGAUGAUGCUGGAGGACCAGGCCAAGUUUCCAGAACAGCGGCGUUGGACCCUCCAUAUCUCAGACAAGAACAGGACAAUCAAAGCUUUUCCAAGACUGGUCCUCUCCUGGUGACAGUAAUACUGUCCCUGGCCUCUGCCCAGAACAUCCAGGAUUAAAAGGGCUCACGUCGCUGUCUGAACACCAGAGGGCGCCAUUAGCUUGGUUUCUGGAGUUCCCACAGCUCUGAUCAAAGGUGUGACACUGUGAAAUAAAGCGAUAUUUUAAGAUCCGUUUAGAGCCAGUAGUUGGCUCCUCGCUGUGAAUUAAAGUAACCAACAGUAACACAGGGCAGUAUUUCCUUGAUUUCUUAAUGCCCUAUCUUAAAAUGAGUAAGUAACUAGGAGGUUGGUUUAAAUGGUUUCUAAGGAAAUCCAG
rnacentral:lncRNA from 9 species